rnacentral:rRNA from 1 species
UUUAUCGGAGAGUUUGAUCCUGGCUCAGGACGAACGCUGGCGGCGUGCCUAAUACAUGCAAGUCGAGCGGACAGAUGGGAGCUUGCUCCCUGAUGUUAGCGGCGGACGGGUGAGUAACACGUGGGUAACCUGCCUGUAAGACUGGGAUAACUCCGGGAAACCGGGGCUAAUACCGGAUGGUUGUUUGAACUGCAUGGUUCAGACAUAAAAGGUGGCUUCGGCUACCACUUACAGAUGGACCCGCGGCGCAUUAGCUAGUUGGUGAGGUAACGGCUCACCAAGGCGACGAUGCGUAGCCGACCUGAGAGGGUGAUCGGCCACACUGGGACUGAGACACGGCCCAGACUCCUACGGGAGGCAGCAGUAGGGAAUCUUCCGCAAUGGACGAAAGUCUGACGGAGCAACGCCGCGU